rnacentral:rRNA from 1 species
GACGAACGCUGGCGGCGUGCCUAAUACAUGCAAGUCGAGCGAAUCGAUGGGAGCUUGCUCCCUGAGAUUAGCGGCGGACGGGUGAGUAACACGUGGGUAACCUGCCUGUAAGACUGGGAUAACUUCGGGAAACCGGAGCUAAUACCGGAUACUUUCUUUUCUCGCAUGAGGGAAGAUGGAAAGAUGGUUCUGCUAUCACUUACAGAUGGACCCGCGGCGCAUUAGCUAGUUGGUGAGGUAACGGCUCACCAAGGCAGCGAUGCGUAGCCGACCUGAGAGGGGGAGCGGCCACACUGGGACUGAGACACGGCCCAGACUCCUACGGGAGGCAGCAGUAGGGAAGCUUCCGCAAUGGACGAAAGUCUGACGGAGCAACGCCGCGUGAGCGAAGAAGGCCUUCGGGUCGUAAAGCUCUGUUGUUAGGGAAGAACAAGUACGAGAGUAACUGCUCGUACCUUGACGGUACCUAACCAGAAAGCCACAGCUAACUACGUGCCAGCAGCCGCCGUAACAC